rnacentral:lncRNA from 1 species
AUAGAAGUCAAACAAACAAACCCACAAACAGACACUUCGAGUUAUUGUAUGAUUUACUUUGAUAAAUGAACCACUGAAAGAGAUCCAGUCUUUCGAACUUGUUGACCACACCACUACCCAUACCCUAUGUUGGGCACACUGCUUUUCGAAACUGGCAUCCAGGGCAGCUUCUGUUGGUGUGUGAGACCUUCAUCUGUAGUGAUGGAGUAGAAAUCUCUAUUAUAAGCUGCUGCUGGAUUGGCAGAAUAGCUCACAGGUUGUGCACCCACCUUGAAGCUGUCUAGUCUCCAAUAUAUUCUUGACCUGACUGUAAGCUAUUACCCUAAUGUUUUUCAGGCAUGGCGUUGCAUCGAUGAUUGCGCCCUCCGUCAGAUGGGACACGAAGUUGGGGAGCCGACUGCCAGCGUGUUGGUUGCUGGUGCACGUGAAGGAUUCCCAUGGUGUUUUCACAAAGAAGAGCGACUUGGGAUUGAAUGGCAAAGGAAGCAAAGACUAUGGAGUUCGCCACGGUACAGAUUCCUUUCAAAUUUCUUUCUAAUUAUUUAUCCAUUUAUUCAUUAAUAUUAUUAUUAUUAUUUUAAAAAAGAAUUCUCUUUAUUCAUUCUUAUUCUUCCUUUUUCUUCUCUUACAUCUCUUUUACUCUCAAUUGCUCUCUUUUGUUAUCUAUCUCUCGAAGGAGAAGUGAAUUAUUGCAUAAUUUUUUUUCUGUAAGGUUCACUUGGCUACGCCUUGAUGGAUUUGAGGGUUGUGGAGUAGCGGCUGAAACUGAAACCCGAAUCCUAUCCAGGUUUCUCCUGAUGACUCCAUCUUUGCUCUUUACUUCUUCAGGUUCCUUCUUGGUCUUCCGUUUGAUUCACAUACACACUGUUGUUUAAAUGGUAGCCUGGUGUUGGCGCAGUGGUUAGGGCAGCGGCUUGGGAUCCAAAAGGUCCUGAGUUCAAGCCCCGUUGGGCCAGGGGGGGGGGGGGGGGGGGGGGGGGGGGGGGGGGGGGG